AUUGAACGCUGGCGGCAUGCUUUACACAUGCAAGUCGAACGGCAGCGCGGGCUUCGGCCUGGCGGCGAGUGGCGAACGGGUGAGUAAUGCAUCGGAACGUGCCCAGUAGUGGGGGAUAGCCCGGCGAAAGCCGGAUUAAUACCGCAUACGACCUGAGGGUGAAAGCGGGGGACCGAAAGGCCUCGCGCUAUGGGAGCGGCCGAUGUCGGAUUAGCUAGUUGGUGGGGUAAAGGCUUACCAAGGCGACGAUCCGUAGCUGGUCUGAGAGGACGACCAGCCACACUGGGACUGAGACACGGCCCAGACUCCUACGGGAGGCAGCAGUGGGGAAUUUUGGACAAAGGGGGCAACCCUGAUCCAGCCAUGCCGCGUGCGGGAAGAAGGCCUUCGGGUUGUAAACCGCUUUUGUUCGGGAAGAAAUCCUCUGGGCUAAUACCCCGGGGGGAUGACGGUACCGGAAGAAUAAGCACCGGCUAACUACGUG
rnacentral:rRNA from 1 species